rnacentral:rRNA from 1 species
ACCCUGCCCACUGAUUUGUUUUAAAGGGCCGCGGUAUACUGACCGUGCGAAGGUAGCAUAAUCAUUAGUCUUUUAAUUGGAGGCUUGUAUGAAUGGUUGGACAAAAAGUAAGCUGUCUCAGCUGUAGAAAUUGAAUUUAACUUUUAAGUGAAAAGGCUUAAAUGGUUCAGGGGGACGAUAAGACCCUAUAAAGCUUGACAAUAAACUUAUUAAAUUAUAAAUUGUUAGUAUAACUUGAUUUUAAUGGGAGUUUGUUUCGUUGGGGCGACGAGAAUAUAAUAAAUAACUGUUCUUUUAAAUAUAAUUACAAAAAUGUUUGGUAAAUAAUUGAUCCUCUAUUAGAGAUUAAAAGAUUAAGUUACUUUAGGGAUAACAGCGUAAUCUUCUUUGAGAGUCCAUAUCGACAAGAAGGUUUGCGACCUCGAUGUUGAAUUAAGGAGUCCUUAUAAUGCAGCAGUUAUAAAGG